rnacentral:rRNA from 1 species
GACGUAGGGUGCGAGCGUUGUCCGGAUUUAUUGGGCGUAAAGAGCUCGUAGGCGGCUCGUCGCGUCGACCGUGAAAACCCGCAGCUUAACUGCGGGCUUGCGGUUGAUGCGGGCGGGCUAGAGUUCGGUAGGGGAGACUGGAAUUCCUGGUGUAGCGGUGAAAUGCGCAGAUAUCAGGAGGAACACCGGUGGCGAAGGCGGGUCUCUGGGCUGAUACUGACGCUGAGGAGCGAAAGCGUGGGGAGCGAACAGG